rnacentral:rRNA from 3 species
UGUGACAUACCACUUGUUGCCUCGGCGGAUCAGCCCGCUCCCGGUAAAACGGGACGGCCCGCCAGAGGACCCCUAAACUCUGUUUCUAUAUGUAACUUCUGAGUAAAACCAUAAAUAAAUCAAAACUUUCAACAACGGAUCUCUUGGUUCUGGCAUCGAUGAAGAACGCAGCAAAAUGCGAUAAGUAAUGUGAAUUGCAGAAUUCAGUGAAUCAUCGAAUCUUUGAACGCACAUUGCGCCCGCCAGUAUUCUGGCGGGCAUGCCUGUUCGAGCGUCAUUUCAACCCUCAAGCACAGCUUGGUGUUGGGACUCGCGUUAAUUCGCGUUCCUCAAAUUGAUUGGCGGUCACGUCGAGCUUCCAUAGCGUAGUAGUAAAACCCUCGUUACUGGUAAUCGUCGCGGCCACGCCGUUAAACCCCAACUUCUGAAUGUUGACCUCGGAUCAGGUAGGAAUACCCGCUGAACUUAAGCAUAUC